rnacentral:rRNA from 1 species
UACGAAGGGGGCUAGCGUUGUUCGGAAUUACUGGGCGUAAAGCGUUUGUAGGCGGUCAAUCAAGUCAGGGGUGAAAUCCUGAGGCUCAACCUCAGAAUUGCCUUUGAAACUGAUUGGCUAGAGAAUGUUAGAGGUUAGUGGAAUUCCUAGUGUAGGAGUGAAAUCCGUAGAGAUUAGGAGGAAUAUCGAUGGCGAAGGCAGCUAACUGGGACAUUUCUGACGCUGAGAAACGAAAGCGUGGGUAGCAAACAGG